rnacentral:rRNA from 1 species
CAGCCGCCGCGGGAAUACGGAGGGUGCGAGCGUUAAUCGGAAUUACUGGGCGUAAAGCGUGCGCAGGCGGUUUUGUAAGUCUGUCGUGAGAUCCCCGGGCUCAACCUGGGAAUGGCGAUGGAGACUGCAAGGCUAGAAUCUGGCAGAGGUGGGUAGAAUUCCACGUGUAGCAGUGAAAUGCGUAGAUAUGUGGAGGAACACCGAUGGCGAAGGCAGCCCCCUGGGCUAAGAUUGACGCUCAUGCACGAAAGCGUGGGGAGCAAACAGGAUUAGAUACCCCAGUAGUCCCUGUCUCUUUACA